CGACAUCUCAGAGGGAACGUCUUGUGUGGUUGAGGACAGCUCCGAGCUGCACAAGUGCUAUGAGGUUCACGAAUUCAUUGGAUCAGGUGGUUAUGCGAUGGUCAAGCUUGGCAGGCACAUUCGGACUGAAGAACCAGUGGCUAUCAAGAUUCUGGAGAAGAAAGAGCUCGGGGAUGAGUUGCCAGAUUUGAGGAUAGAGAUUGAAGCCCUGAAGAACCUCAAUCAUCAGCACGUGUGCCGCUUGUACCAAGUCAUGGAGACAGCUGACCAGAUCUACAUGGUGCUUGAGGUA